rnacentral:tRNA from 1 species
GGGGAUAUAGCUCAGCUGGUAGAAUGCUUGCCUAGCAUGCAUUAGGCCCUUGGUUCAAUCCCUAGUACUACCA